GUGAGGAAUAUUGGACAAUGGGCGCAAGCCUGAUCCAGCCAUGCCGCGUGCAGGAAGACGCAUCUAUGGUGUGUAAACUGCUUUUGUACGGGAAGAAACACUCCCUCGUGAGGGAGCUUGACGGUACCGUAAGAAUAAGGAUCGGCUAACUCCGUGCCAGCAGCCGCGGUAAUACGGAGGAUCCAAGCGUUAUCCGGAAUCAUUGGGUUUAAAGGGUCCGUAGGCGGUUGAAUACGUCAGUGGUGAAAGCUCAUCGCUCAUCGAUGGAACGAACAUUGAUACUGGUAGACUUGAAUUACAAGGAAGUAGAUAGAAUAUGUAGUGUAGCGGUGAAAUGCUUAGAUAUUACAUGAAAUACCAAUUGCGAUGGCAGGUUACUACUUGUAGAUUGACGCUGAUGGACGUAAGCGUGGGGAGCGAACAGGAUUAGAUACCCGUGUAGUCC
rnacentral:rRNA from 1 species